GAGUUUGAUCCUGGCUCAGGAUGAACGCUAGCGACAGGCCUAACACAUGCAAGUCGAGGGGUAACAGAUGAAGAGCUUGCUCUGAUUGCUGACGACCGGCGCACGGGUGAGUAACAAGUAUGCAACCUACCUUUUACAGGGGGAUAGCCCAGAGAAAUUUGGAUUAAUACCUCAUAAUAUUUUUAACUCGCAUGAGUUUUAAAUUAAAACUUCGGUGGUAAAAGAUGGGCAUGCUUUCUAUUAGUUUGUUGGUGAGGUAACGGCUCACCAAGACUAUGAUAGAUAGGGGGUCUGAGAGGAUAGUCCCCCACACUGGUACUGAGACACGGACCAGACUCCUACGGGAGGCAGCAGUGAGGAAUAUUGGUCAAUGGUCGAAAGACUGAACCAGCCAUGUCGCGUGAAGGAUGACGGCCCUAUGGGUUGUAAACUUCUUUUGUAUGGGAAGAAAAGCAGUUACGUGUAACUGUCUGCCGGUACCAUACGAAUAAGAUCGCUAACU
rnacentral:rRNA from 1 species